CCUACGGGUGGCUGCAGUGGGGAAUAUUGGACAAUGGGGGAAACCCUGAUCCAGCAAUGCCGCGUGUGUGAAGAAGGCCUGCGGGUUGUAAAGCACUUUCGGUUGGGAAGAAAAGUUUGGCGCCAAUACCGCCGAACCUUGACGUUACUGACAGAAGAAGCACCGGCUAACUCUGUGCCAGCAGCCGCGGUAAUACAGAGGGUGCAAACGUUACUCGGAAUCACUGGAGGUAGAGCGUGCAUUCGGGUGCGAAAUCCCCGGGCUUAACCUGGGAACUGCAUUCGAUACUACAUGGCUAGAGUAUGGUAGAGGGAAGUGGAAUGUCCGGUGUAGCGGUGAAAUGCGUAGAUAUCGGAAGGAACACCAAUGGCGAAGGCAGCUUCCUGGACUAAUACUGACACUGAGGCACGAAAGCGUGGGUAGCAAACAGGAUUAGAUACCCGAGUAGUC
rnacentral:rRNA from 1 species